rnacentral:rRNA from 1 species
UACGUAGGGGGCUAGCGUUAUCCGGAAUUACUGGGCGUAAAGGGUGCGUAGGUGGUUUCUUAAGUCAGAGGUGAAAGGCUACGGCUCAACCGUAGUAAGCCUUUGAAACUGAGAAACUUGAGUGCAGGAGAGGAGAGUAGAAUUCCUAGUGUAGCGGUGAAAUGCGUAGAUAUUAGGAGGAAUACCAGUUGCGAAGGCGGCUCUCUGGACUGUAACUGACACUGAGGCACGAAAGCGUGGGGAGCAAACAGGAUUAGAUACCCGGGUAGUCCCUGA